rnacentral:rRNA from 1 species
AGGAAAAGAAACUAACAAGGAUUCCCCUAGUAACGGCGAGUGAAGCGGGAAGAGCUCAACAUUGUAAUCUGGCUGCUUCGCAGUCCGAGUUGUAGUCUAUAGAAGCAUGAUCCGCGCCGGCCCUUGGGCAUGUCUGUUGGAACGCAGUGUCAAAGAGGGUGAAAAUCCCGUACAUACCAAGGACGACCGUGUGCAUUGUGGUCUGCUCUCUAAGAGUCGAGUUGUUUGGGAAUGCAGCUCUAAUUGGGUGGUAAAUUCCAUCUAAAGCUAAAUAUCGACGAGAGACCGAUAGCGAACAAGUACAGUAAUGGAAAGAUGAAAAGUAGCCUGCAGAGGCAAUGAAACAAUACGUGAAACCGUUUGUAGGGAAGCGAUGGAACCUUUUCACGCUGCGAGGGUUCAGCUUGGCUUCGGCUUAGUGUAUUCCCUCGUUUUGCGGACCAGCAUCAGUUUGCUUCGCAGUAUAAGGGUGAUUGGAACGUGGCUUCUCCGGAAGUGUUAUAGCCUUUCACUGGAUGCUGUGUCGCAGACUGAGGACUGCAGUGCGCCGUAAGGCAUGGUCUUCGGGCCACGAGCACUUAGGAUGCUGGGCGAAUGGGUUUCAACGACCCGUCUUG